CAGGUGGGUGCUCAGGUGAGGGCGGGGCUCUGCAGGUGUGGGCGGGGCUCUCCAGGUGGGCGCUCAGGUGAGGGCGGGGCUCUGCAGGCGCGGAUCAAGAAGAUCAUGCAGACGGACGAGGAGAUCGGGAAGGUGGCGGCCGCUGUGCCCGUCAUCAUCUCGCGGGCCCUGGAGCUGUUCCUGGAGUCGCUGCUGCGCAAGGCGUGUCACGUGACCCAGUCCCGCAACGCCAAGACCAUGACGACGUCACACCUGUGAGUGCCUCACCUGUCCCCAGGUGUCCCCUCACCUGUGCUCCCCUGUCCUCACCUGUCCC